UAUAGAGGCAAAGUAUGAAGUUGGACAAGGGGGCCGAUGACACGUAAAGGAACAGACGCGGCGAAGGAGCAAACGAAGCCAUGUUGCAGUGACACGCAGGUUCCUAUAGUUUUGAUUACAAACCCAAUUGACACGAGUCCAAGGCUUGCGGUGGUUAAAUUGAGCACUAUCUAGUAGAUUCCAUUUGGGUUUCUAGCCUUCUAUGAUCUUUCAAGAAAGAAGAAGAAAACCCUGUCUCAGAUAUUAUCAUCCAAGACCGAAAGCAAGUGCACAGCCAUUUCUGGUUCUUGUUUGCUGGUGACAGCUUUAGCAACGAGCCACUGAUGAAAUAUUACAGCUUGAGGACAAGCAGGGAGUUUUGAAAGGAGCUGAUGAGCACCGUAAAAAACCACCGAAUGAAGUAGCUUUGCCCAAAAGUUUCAAUGCAGUUUUUGCCUUUUCUCUCUGUUUCCUUUCUUUUUCUUGGGAACUCUAGGGAAGUGCUGCAAAAAGCCAUAAUAUGGUUGCUGCUAAUGGCAAUGAAGUUACGCUUUCUGAAAAUGUUAUGGGCUUUGGUUCCUCAACAAGGCAUUAUUUCGCGGUGGGAUCGAAGAUCAUCCCUGUCUUCCAUGUUAAGAAACAUGAGACUCCAACCUUUUUGGGGGUGGUUUUAAAAAAUCAUCCUUUCAAAGAACUCUAUCCAUUUUAUAAUCCGAGAAUUGCUUAUGUUCAGGACUGCCACUGCCAGCUAGUUUACAAGGGGGCGGUUUGCUUACGCCCGGACACCUUCCAAAAUGCUGGUGGUGGGAUGUAAAAACUAUCAUUCAUUUCCACUGUCAAAAGCAUACAGAAAAGAGAAGGUAUCCAGCACGGUGAAAACCGCUAUAAGGCACCAUGCCAUGCCACUCGACCACUAGAACCAGAAGAGAAGCUACCGAUAAUACAGAAAAUAAGAUAAAAAAAGCAGAGAUACCAGACGAUCUUGACAAUAGUAAACCUAGAGUACUUCUAAACCACUAAGACUCGACAUUGACAAACAGAGCCGAAGCAGAGACAUAUAGGCUACGG